UGGGGAAUAUUGCACAAUGGCGAAGCCUGAUGCAGCGACGCCGCGUGAGGGAUGACGGCCUUCGGGUUGUAAACCUCUUUUCAGCAGGGAAGAAGCGAAAGUGACGGUACCUGCAGAAGAAGCGCCGGCUAACUACGUGCCAGCAGCCGCGGUAAUACGUAGGGCGCAAGCGUUGUCCGGAAUUAUUGGGCGUAAAGAGCUCGUAGGCGGUUAGUCGCGUCUGCUGUGAAAACUCGAGGCUCAACCUCGGGCUUGCAGUGGGUACGGGCUGACUAGAGUGCGGUAGGGGUGACUGAAUUCCUGGUGUAGCGGUGGAAUGCGCAGAUAUCAGGAGGAACACCGAUGGCGAAGGCAGGUCACUGGGCCGCAACUGACGCUGAGGAGCGAAAAGCAUGGGGAGCGAACAGGAUUAGAUACCCUGGUAGUCCAUGCCGUAAAACGUUGGGCACUAGGUGUGGGGUCCAUUCCACGGAUUCCGUGCCGCAGCAAACGCAUUAAAGUGCCCCGCCUGGGGAGUGACGGCCGCAAAGGCUAAAACUCAAAAUGAAUUGACGGGGUCAUAGCUGUUUCCU
rnacentral:rRNA from 1 species